AAAUUGAAGAGUUUGAUCAUGGCUCAGAUUGAACGCUGGCGGCAGGCCUAACACAUGCAAGUCGAACGGUAACAGGAAGAAGCUUGCUUCUUUGCUGACGAGUGGCGGACGGGUGAGUAAUGUCUGGGAAACUGCCUGAUGGAGGGGGAUAACUACUGGAAACGGUAGCUAAUACCGCAUAACGUCGCAAGACCAAAGAGGGGGACCUUCGGGCCUCUUGCCAUCAGAUGUGCCCAGAUGGGAUUAGCUUGUUGGUGGGGUAA
rnacentral:rRNA from 1 species